rnacentral:misc_RNA from 1 species
CUCCUAUUCUCGAGUUACUUCCCAUUUCGCGCUGAAAGCGAGGCUAUGACGCGUUUUGACAUUAGGAAACCCCACUUCCGUUGUAAACAAACGCUACUUUUGCACUCUAAAGAAAAUGAGCAGCCUGCUGCGUAUCAAGCUUCAGCCUACUUCUAAAAAAGCUGUCUUACGUCAGUAUUCUCCCACCAGCAUGACUAAUGCAUAUAACCUGGUGAAGGACAGGGGUGUCUCUGUAUACAUGGCUGCUAAAUUACAUGGUGUCCCAACUUCAACCUUGCGUGAUAGAGUUGACAAUAGAGUCUCUAUUGAAACUGUUAAGUCUGGACCAGAGCCAGUGUUAACCAUAGAGGAAGAAGCCAAACUUUGUGCUCAUCUGAAGGAGUUAGCAGAGGUAGGUUAUGGAUAUACCCGUGCUGAAACAAUAGCAUUAGCCUCUGACUAUGCAGUUGCACUUGGAAAAAGAAAUGUUGACAAUCCCUUCAGCAUGAAAUGGUUUUAUGGUUUCAUGAAGAGGUGGCCGGAGCUGAAUGUAGUUCGUCCGUCUAGUUUGUCAGAGCAACGUGCGAAGUGUGCCAGUGAUACAUGUAUUUACAAUUAUUUCUGUGAACUUAACAGAAUAGUCAGCAAGUAUGCCCUAAGUGAUAAACCACAGAAUAUCUAUAACAUUGACGAAAAGGGUAUCAAUACGGAAUUUAAACCACCUAAUGUAGUUGCAGGUAAAGCAUCCAAGCCACAAGCUAUCAUGGCUGAACGUUCAAAAACUGUGACUGUCAUUGGUGGAGGAAAUGCUUUGGGCCAGAGUAUUCCACCAUUUUUUGUCUUUCCAGGGGAAAGACUUGUAGAUGGUCUUAUGGAGGGUAAAACUCCAGGCGCUGAUGAUGUUAUGACCAAAACAGGCAAGUCAAAUACUGAUGUGUUUAGAAAAUAUCUUAAAGAUCACUUUGUUAAGUUUGUUCAGGGUAGAGAUAUGUCUGAUACUAUUCUUGUUCUUUAUGACGGUCACAGAAGCCAUCUGUCUGUUGAUCUGAUUGAAUGGGCCCAAGAUAAUAACACUGUUCUGUUUGUUUUGCCACCACACACAUCCCAUGUCCUUCAGCCAAUGGAUAUUGAUUGUUUCGGACCUCUUCAACUGAAGUACAAUCAAGAGUGUACCACUUUUGCACGUCUUAACCACAGGGUCGUAACCAGGUAUGAUGUGUGUGGUCUUGCAUGCAAAGCCUAUGCAGCCGGUUUGAACCUCAUUAACCUACAGUCUGCAUUUAAAAAAGCAGGUAUCUUCCCCCUGUUGGAUGGUAAGACCAUGUGUCUCUGGGUACUAAAACAAAACCUUCAAUGCUUUAUAGUUGUACAGAAAAUGAUAAGGAUAUAGCUUUACCAAAUAAUGAGCAUAAUGAAACUUCAGUUAAUGACACAAAUGGUGGUAAGGAUGAAGCCUUGCAGGUACCUGAACAGUUUUUUAGUAAACGUAAAGGUGUUGUAGUUCAGAAGGUAACGAAAAAAAGAAGAAAUGUUAACAAUAUUGUUGGUGGAAAGGCACUUGAAGGUGACACUGUUGAAAAACUAAGGAAGUACCACCAAGAAUCUGUAAAGCACAAACCCCAUGAAUGUAAAUCUGUAAAAUCAAAACAAUCUGUAAAACAAAAGAAGGUUACCAUCACAUAUAAAUUUAGCCUGUGAUAGCAGUUCUGUUGCAAGUAACUCUCAGACUGACUCAUCUGAUGAAUCUGAGGUUUGCUGUGUAUGUAAACAUUUUUAUGUUCCCCGUAAAUUAAGAGAUGGAACUCAUGCAUUACCCAGUGGGCCCAGUGUGAUGUAUGUGAUCACUGGGUUCACUUGAAAUACUGUACUCCUGUGAGAGUUGUAAGGAAAAAUACUGAAUUCAAGUGUAAAUGUUGUUUGUAAAGCAUAUAAUGUGAAAUGUGUGCAUCAGAAAUAAAAUAUAAAUAGGUCAAACAUCACUAGGUUAAUUGUAUUUUAACCUGAAAUAAAUUUGCAUUUCCAGUACUGUAUGGUAUAGCAUUUUACAGAUCUAUAAAUAGCUCGAGAACAGGUGACGCCAUUUUGGAAGCUGAUUGUAAACAUGCUUUUACUGUUCAUGUGUUCCUGGUCUGAAAUUCGAAUAAGGCAUGCUUUUUGUGGUCUAUAAUAAGAAAUCAGAUAUUACAUGAUUGUCUGAACUAGAAGCGUUCUAGUAGCGGUAAAGGUUGCGGAUGUGGUAUAGGAUGUGGGUGUGGGUGUUGUGGAGGUGUUAAAUUCUGUCUCAUACUGUUCAACACCAUUUUUCUGAUUUCAAGUGCUGCGUUAGUUGCUUUUGGUAUAUG